GAUAGUCAUUAACAGGAACAUCCAGGCUGUGCUUGCACAAACUAGCAAUCCAGUGUGUACCGUACACCACGCUGCUAGAGAUGGGUCUAAAGUAUUUUUAUGCCCGUCAUUGGUAUGUGGCAUGAGGGUCAGAUUUAUUUCCCCUUUCAUACUAAAUGAACCUACAUUGUAAAACUACUCAGCAGUAGUGAAUAGACGGGGAAGAUCUCCAAAAAUGAUGCCGGGCCACAGAUCUCCCAUCUGCCACAAUGCUGGGACAUGGUGAUGAAUUUUCAUGGGGCGGAAAAGAACAACUAUCCUAUACCCAGAGAGAACAGCAGUGAUCGAAGAAGAGUGACCACAAAGGAGGUGCUGGGAGGAGGAAGGAUGUAAAAGAACUGUGGAUGGAGAAGGAUCGUGUCUAAUCCUCAGCAGCCACAAGAGCUCAAGCUCUAGUGAUAAAAAGAUCUAGCAAUAAUCCAACCUCUCAACAAAGAGACUUAAUAUCCUGAGGGGUGAGAUCCACUCAGCCGCACAGGGUCAUCAGCUGAUUUAAUCCAGCUGGGUUUUGUACAGAUACAGUUACGGGAUGCCUGGAGGGCUCAGCGGUUGAGCAUCUGCCUUUGCUCAGGGUG